AGAGUUUGAUCCUAGCUCAGAAUGAACGCUGGCGGCGUGGAUAAGGCAUGCAAGUCGAACGAAUCGGUCCUUGGAAGUUUUGAAAGAGAUUUGAGUAGUAAUACAAGAGUCAAUUGAUAAAUGGAAAAGGUUUUCCGAUUAGUGGCAAACGGGGUAGUAACACGUGGGAACGUACCAAGAAGUCGUGAAUAAUGCAUCGAAAGGUGUACUAAUACACGAUGGUCCGGAAACGGUAAAGAUUUAUCGCUUCUUGAACGGCCUGCGGGGUAUCAGCUUGUUGGUAGUGUAAAAGACUACCAAGGCUAUGACGCCUAGGGGAGGUGAGAGCCUGACCCCCACCAUUGGAACUGCGACACGGUCCAAACACCUACGGGUGGCUGCAGUCGAGAAUCUUCCGCAAUGCACGAAAGUGUGACGGAGCGACGCCGCGUGAUGGAUGAAGCCCCUUGGGGUGUAAACAUCUUUUAUGAAUGAAGAAAUUUUUGACACUAGUUCAUGAAUAAGAGGCUCCUAACUCUGUGCCAGCAGGAGCGGUAAUACAGAGGCCUCGAGCGUUAUUCGGAAUUAUUGGGCGUAAAGGGUGCGUAGGUGGUUAUAUUAGUCGAAUUUCAAAGACCUGGGCUCAACCUGGGGAAGGGAUUCGAAACGGUAUGACUAGAGUCAGUGAGAGGUAUGCAGAACUCAUGGAGUAGGGGUGAAAUCCGUUGAUAUCAUGGGGAAUACCAAAUGCGAAGGCAGCAUACUGGCACUGUACUGACACUGAGGCACGAAAGCGUGGGUAGCGAAUGGGAUUAGAUACCCCAGUAGUCCACGCCCUAAACGAUGCAGAUUAGCUUUUCGGAGUAUCGACCCUCUGAGAGGCGUAGCUAACGCGUUAAAUCUGCCGCCUGGGAAGUACGGCCGCAAGGCUAAAACUCAAAGGAAUAGACGGGGACUCGCACAAGUGGUGGAUUAUGUGGUUUAAUUCGAUGAUAAACGAAGAACCUUACCAAGGUUAGAAAUCCAGACGAAGAUAGGGAGAAACCUCUAUCGUCUUCGGACGGCUGGACAGGUGAUGCAUGGUUGUCGUCAGUUCGUGGUUUGAAUUGUUCCCUUAAGUGGGGUAACGAACGAAACCCUCGUCGUGUGUUUUAUUUGUCACACGAGACUGCCCCCUCUGUGUUUAUGAGAUGCUUGCAUUUUAUGGACACAAUGGAAUACUCAAUUUUUUAAAUUUAUUUAUUAUUUUGUGUAUUCCAUUGUGUUCAGAAGAUCUUGCGAUUCGUAAAUAGAGAGGGGGGAGGAAGGAGAGGAUGACGCCAAAUCAGCAUGUCCCUUGAUACCUUGGGCUACACACGUAAUACAAUGGCCGUUACAAUGGGUUGCAAUGCCGCGAGGCGGAGCUAAUCCUUAAAGGCGGCCCCAGUUCGGAUUGAAGUCUGCAACUCGACUUCAUGAAGUUGGAAUCGCUAGUAAUCGCAGGUCAGCUAUACUGCGGUGAAUACGUUCUCGAGUCUUGUACUCACCGCCCGUCAAGUCAAGGGAGCUGGGGGUGCCCGAAGUCUGCGCAUUGCGUGGCCGAAGGCAAACUUGGUGACAGGGACUAAGUCGUAACAAGGCACGGGUAGCGGAAGCUGCUCGUG
rnacentral:rRNA from 1 species